GACGAACGCAGGCGGCGUGCCUAACACAUGCAAGUCGAGCGGAGUCAGUAAGAGGAAGUUUUCGGAUGGAAUCUUAUUGAUUUAGCGGCGAACGGGUGAGUAACGCGUGAGCGACCAACCUUGCACAGGGGGAUAACGGACCGAAAGGUUCACUAAUACCGCAUGAGACCACGGUGUUGCAUGACACAGGGGUCAAAGGAGUAAUCCGGUGCAAGACGGGCUCGCGUCCGAUUAGGUAGUUGGAGGGGUAACGGCCCACCAAGACUAUGAUCGGUAGCUGGCCUGAGAGGGUGAUAGGCCACAUUGGAACUGAGUGACGGUCCAAACUCCUACGGGAGGCAGCAGUGGGGAAUAUUGGGCAAUGGGGGAAACCCUGACCCAGCAACGCCGCGUGAAGGAAGAAGGUUUUCGGAUUGUAAACUUCUGUCCUUGGUGAAGAGAAGAAGACGGUAGCCAAGGAGGAAGCCCCGGCUAACUACGUGCCAGCUGCCGCUGUAA
rnacentral:rRNA from 1 species